rnacentral:lncRNA from 1 species
AUGGCGGCGGUGCUCUACAGACCGUGCCUCCCUAGGGCGUGGGUGUGCAGGAACGCCGGACAGGGCAGCGGCCGGCACUACCGUGCCACGAUUUGCGCAGAGCUGAAGUAGUCCCUGACCAUCGAAGAGGUGGCCCCCGCCCCGUCGGGCCUCACGAGGACCUGUGGCAGAUUCCAGAAAAGGUCUCCCUACAAGAAGCUGCUGUCCUCCCUAUAACUUAUGGCACUGAGAGUUUUGCUCUUGAGCAUCGGGCCCGUACCCAGCCUGGAGAAAUUGUUUUAGUGACGGCAGCAGCUGGAGCCACAGGCCUUGCAGUGAUGUGGCAACAAAUUUCUUCAGGCCAAGGUAAUAUAGCUGCUGCUGGAAGUGACGAGAAGUGCAAGCUGGCGAUGGCAGAAGGGUGCGCAGUCCAGCGUGAACUACAGUCAGGGCAGCCUGAAGGAUUCAGUGAGGAAGCUGCCUGGCAUGGGAGGGCAGGAUUGUGGUGGUGGGAUUUGCUGGAGGAAACAUUGCUUCUGUACCAGCCAACCUUCUGCUCCUGAAGAAUAUCUCUGCUAUGGGCCUGUACUGUGGUCAAUACAAAAAAUGAACUUUCCCGUCUUCUCCAAGAGCCUAUCUUCAGUGCUUCGGUACUGCCAGCAAGGGCGCAUCCAACCAUAUGUCGGAAUGGUUUUCAAGCUGGAUGAGGUCAAUGAUGCCUUCCUUCAUGUGAUACAGGGGAAAUCCGUGGGCAAGGUGCUUCUCGCUCUUAAAUAA